UGUCCCCUGGGAGCUGAUAGGCACCGACCCGUCCUUGCCAGGAGUUCUGUUCGCAAUUACUGUGUAACCAGGGAGGAGGAGAAGACGGCUGAUAAGAGAGGAAACUCUCCACCCUCUUUACAGCCAGGGAUGCAGGUGUUGGGGGAAAGGGGAGCCGUGGCCUUGGGAAGGCUCAGGUGGUCUGGUCUAGCUUGGGGAGACUGCCACCGCUGCUGGUCUAGCUCGGCGAGACUGCCACCGCUGCAGUCACAGCCCUAUGAACUGCGGUCACUCACGCCAUUUUACAGCUGAGGAGAUGCACCCAGAGGUGAGUGGCGGCUUACAGGGCUACGCAGCUAACCCGUAGAAGAAGCAGCAGUCAGACCCAGGACCCACAAUGAUGUACCACACUGUGAUUGCAGUGCUGGAAAGACAGCUGUGAUCAAAACAGACAAGCCCGCCUCUUUUCAUGGAGCUUACACUGGAAGUAGAUAAUAAACAGGUAAUGAAUAAAUGUCCAAUGAUGUAUUUUCCAUUUGUGACCAUGUUAUAAAGAACACAAAACAGGAUGAUGAGCUGGAGAGCAACCAGGUGAGGGAAGGUACUUUAGUUUUUUCAGAUUUGACUUUUAUUCCACAGGUGACACAGAGCCGUGGGUGUUUUUGUGAGCGAUGGUUCAUGAACCCGACUGUAGGGCUAAGGGGAGCAUCCACCGGGGAUUUGAAUAAGUCAGAGAUGAGUUACAGGCUGUGUGUGUUGGUGUCUGGGGGGAAGUGUGUAUCAGGAUGGGCUCUGUUGCAAGUAACCAAACACCCAACUUGAAGUGGCUUAAACGGUAGGGGUCUGUUAGCUCACAGGAGAAUAUUUGUAGGUAGGAGGCUCCAGAGCUUGUUCAUUUGGGCGCAGUAACAAUGCCGAGGGGGGGCACUUUCCGUCUUUCUCCUCUGCCAUCCCCAGCGCAUUGGUUUUGUCUUUGAGCUUGUCCCCGCGUGGCUGGGGAUGGCCUCUGCAGCUCCAGGCUUUAUGGCUUCACACACUCAUCCCAAGGCUGCAGGGGAAGACUGGCCUUUUCUCACUCUUUUCAUCACAGAGGAAGACAUUUUCCAGAAACCUCCAAGUGGAUUUCCUUUAUUCCCCUUGGCCAGGACUGUGACACGUGCUCACACUUAAACCCAUCGCUAGCAGAAAGAGUGAACCAGCCAUGGGGAUCUCAUUAUUCACCGUUCGCUCCCUGGGACGCUGCAGUGGGGCCGCCUGCUGUCAUCCCUCUGCUGCUCCGUUUCUGGAUAAAACCAGGGGCCCGUUGGGCAGCAAGAAGGCAGGUCAUUUAUCGCUGUAGCGGGGAUGAGCCGCAGUGCGUGUGUGGCAGAUCUAGUGGGUUUUGCUUUGGGAUGUUGUGUCCGGAAAGGUGUGUGACCACGUGUUCUGGGGAUGGGGGCUGUUCUCAGCAACGUGCACGUUGACUAAUUCCCUCCUAAGAUGCGGGGAAAGAAGGAAGAGAGGAAGGCAGGAGGAAACAGCACUCCUCCGGUCCUCCCCUCCUGGUUACCCUUGAAUGUACUCACAUUGUUCAUAGCUGGACCAUUUCCUAAGUCCUCUUCAUAUUGGUGUGUCUGAUGUUUGCAGCCUCCACAGAAAGUGGAAGUGACUCUCCCUGUUGUGCAGUCAAAGGGACUGAAGCCUGAGGAGGGAAGGGACUCACCCAAGGUCUGACCAGCGAGGCAGAGUCCCAGCUUGAACCCAAUCCUUCUAUGACCCAUCCUAACCUGUUUGACCCCUGCACCCCCAUGCUGCCUCUUUGAGUUAUUUCAAAAUUCUGGGUUUUAAGAAGGAACUCCCCAGAAAGUUUCUGUAUGGAGACCUCAAUGGGUUGGUGGCUGAGAGGUUUGAGGUUGGAGGUGGGGGGGUCCCAUUCUAUUCUCUCCAGAGCAAUUUUUCAGGGUCUAGACUUCUGUGCAUCAGGGAUUCUGUGGGCUACUUUAUAUAGGCUGAGGGAUCGGGACAAGAAUAUAAAGAUGGCCCAUCAUGGGAUGGCCUGGUGAGAAGAUCAGGAGUUCUCAGUGGACCCCUGUCCUUGCACUAUUUGUACUUGAGACUUGGCAUUUGACGUGGUCUCUUGGGGGAACUGAGAUGCUUAGAACUGACAUUUUGAGCUUGUGUUUGAUUCUUUUUCACCCUGGGUUCUGUUGAGAGCAUUCAAAGCCCUUCGGUAGUCUGCCGGGUCUUUAUGUUCCCUUACUUGGGAAUGACAACUUGUCAUUCCAGGCAGGCUGGGCAUAUGCUAUAGGUGCCUUAAAAUGGAGAGUGGAGGUACUCAGUGCACAGGACAGAACACAAGGCUCUUUCCUUUCUGCAUUUGGUAACCAGAGGGGCUGGACCUGGUUUAAAGUUGAUUCAUAUCUCUCUGGUCAGGUAUGUGCAGUCUGCUUGGACCUUGGGUUGUGUGUGAUGGUCAAAAUCCUCUAUAUGUAUAACUGAAUCCCUUUGCUGUACACCUGAAACUAACACAACACUGUAAAUCAACUAUAUCCCAAUAUAAAAUAAAAAUUAAAAAAAAUCUUCUUUAAUUACCUUUAGUCAUGUAUUAUAGUUUUCAGGGUAGAGGUUUUUCCACAUCUUUUGUUGUAUUUAUUUCUAAGUGGUCUAUGUUACUUUUAGCCUCCACUGUAAGUGGAAUUGUUUUGUUAAUUUCAUUUUCCAAAUGUUUGUUGUUCAUAUAUAUAAAAAUAUAACUUUUCUAUAUUGAAGAAAAAAUAGAGUCAGUCAUAAUAACCUCAGAAGACCAGUAUAUCAAUAUUGGCACAGGGCUUGCAGGGGUUAGCUUGAACCACCUUGAUUACCUAUAGAUCAUAUCUCCUGUAGACAGCUGUAUCAAGCCGAGAGGCAGUUCGUCACCAACGGAUUUAUAGGGUCUAGUGUUUCUGAGUAUUAGUGCAUGGCAUGGAUCUGGGAACUUUUCCACUCAGUGCUUCAUUCAGCAAACAUUCAUUUGGUGCCUACUAUGUGUCAGAUACUAGGCUAAGGAGGAGGAAUAUAUUAAGACCAACGUGACUCCUGUCCAGAUAGGGUUAUGAUCAGAGAGGGGACAUGAUAAGCAAGCAGCCAAAUAGAUAUUGCAAAUUAUGGUAAGCAGUUUGAAGGAGAGAGUGCUGUCAAUUGUAUUACAGUGAGCUGGUCUUAUUUUUUUACGAUGUUUAGGAAGGUGAUGUUCAGACAGGGACAAAGUGAUAAUAUCCAUCCCACCUCAACCAAAGGUAUGGCCAGGCCCGUUAGAACUCAUGGUUAUACCUCAAAGGAUGGGGGCAUUUCAAACAGAGGAAUGGAAUUUUCAAAUUGGUUGAAGUUGCUUUUCUGAGAAUCUCUUGAAAUGCCGUGAAAUGCCUUGGGUUUUACCCCUCACCCAUUAUCAACGGAGUUGCCGGUAAAUGAAAACUGGCUUUGCUGGCUCAAUGUGGAUUUUGUCAUUGUAGUUCUUGGUUUGAUAAAGGCUGUCAGAAAGGAAAAAGAAAAUAAAUGAACUAAGAAAUAAAAACAAUUCUUAAACUGUGACCAAGGAAGUGAGUUGAUGUAUGAAGAGGAGUUUGGAGGCUUAUUAGAGUUAUAAUAAAAUUUAAACCUUGCUAUGCCAUGGUGGUGCAUCUUGCCGGGGCUUCGUCCCCAAGGAUGUGAUUCAGGGGAUGAUGACUGGUCCUCAGCAUUGAGAUGAACACGUUAGCACUGGGUAAAUCCUAUGUGGCAAGUUUUCCCUCUCUAGAAUUGGAAGAAAUGACUGUUUCUUUUUUUUUUUUUUUUUUGCGGUGCG